rnacentral:lncRNA from 1 species
AUUAUCUCCCCUCCCCCCAAAAAAAGGGAAAAAGAAAGCAUAAGAAGUACUAUAGAAGUGCAGAGGUGGAGAAAUGUGCUCCCCGGAUACAGAGGGAAGCCUAGAGGAAGACACUCACAAAGUAAUUAUUGAGCCAAGCCUUAAAGGAUGAGAGGAAUUUUUCCCAGCAGAGAGAAUUUUAUCACUUCAUGAUGAAGUCUGGGAGUAAAUACUGGAACUUAUUCUUUCCCAUUUCCAUUUUUUUCUUGUGCCAUUCAUUACAGUUUUCCACUCUUGAGUCCCCGAUGUAUGAGUUCCAUUUAUGAACUUCAUCUACAAGCAGGAUAACAUGGGUACAUGAAAUCCAACAAUAUCGCUCUCAGUCACACCCAACAGAAGCAUUUCUAUUAGAACUUGCAGCUGACAAACUUGUAGGGUGUAGAAAGAGUCCUGUGGUUGGAACUGCUUCUUCCUCCCUCUGUGACUUUGAGCAGGAUGAAACUUCUCUGAGUCUUGGCUUCCCCUUCUAUACAUUGUACAUGGAAAAAUUUCAUCUCUCCUCUCUUGCAGAGCUCCUAUGGAAGCUUAAAGGAAAGCAUAUGAAAAUCCAUUUUAAUCUAUGACAUGUUCUUCAAAUAUGGGUAUGAUCCUGAAGAGUAUCCAGCAUAGAAAUGGACACACAGAAGGCUCCUUUGAAUAAGAAGACCAAGUCUUUCCCUUCUUUACCACACCAUCAUUGUUUUCCAAGUGACACUCAGGCUCAAAUAAGACUUAGAAGACUUUUGGAUCAAAGGAAAGUGACUCAUCUGGGGAAGUGUCUGCUUCGCAUAUUGCUAUUCCCAGAUGGCGGGAUUCUUAGGACACUGUCUUCAGCCCCUCGCGCCGUCCGCGUACUGACUGCAGCUCUG